CGCGAUAGGUAAUGUGAAUUGCAGAAUUCCGUGAAUCAUCGAAUCUUUGAACGCACCUUGCGCUCCAUGGUAUUCCGUGGAGCAUGCCUGUUUGAGUGCCGCGAAUUCUCCCUCCCCUUACGGUGGCCGAAAGGCCGAAGUAGGGCGGACGGGGUAGGAUGGGUGUUGCUGCCUGGGGAUUGUACCAGGCUCGCCCGAAAUGCAUAAGCGCCAGGACCCUCGCUACCGCUCUCUAGGGAAGAGUGGCUAAGCGACCGCUGAGCAUGGCAUGAUACGUCAUUUGCUGUGUGUGGGCGGCCGGUUGGAGAGGUGUCUGCUUUACCAGCCCUUUUUUAAUUCUGGUCUCAAAUCAGGUAGGACUCACCCGC
rnacentral:rRNA from 1 species